UAAAAAGCCUUUUACUCUACAAGAGAUUCUCAGGAAACUGGAGGCUAUGAAGUAGAGAUAUGGGGAGUAGGUGACCUAGUUUGCAACCAACCCUGAUGGAAGAAGCUAUUCAUUGGAAAGAGAAGAAAAAUGAACUG